UUAGUCCUACGGGACGCAGCAGUGGGGAAUAUUGCACAAUGGGGGAAACCCUGAUGCAGCGACGCCGCGUGAGUGAAGAAGUAUUUCGGGAUGUAAAGCUCUAUCAGCAGGGAAGAAAAAAGACGGUACCUGACUAAGAAGCCCCGGCUAACUACGUGCCAGCAGCCGCGGUAAUACGUAGGGGGCAAGCGUUAUCCGGAUUUACUGGGUGUAAAGGGAGCGUAGACGGUGCGU
rnacentral:rRNA from 1 species